GCACUACACAUGCAAGUCGAGCGUAGCACAGGGAGCUUGCUCUGGGUGACGAGCGGCGGACGGGUGAGUAAUGUCUGGGAAGCUGCUGAUGGAGGGGGAUAACUACUGGAAACGGUAGCUAAUACCACAUAACGCCUUCGGACCAAAGAGAGGGACCUUUCGGGCCUCUUGCCAUCAGAUGUGCCCAGAUGGGAUUAGCUAGUAGGUGAGGUAAUGGCUCACCAAGGCGACGAUCAGUAGCCGACCUGAGAGGGUGAUCGGCCACAUUGGGACUGAGACACGGUCCAGACUCCUACGGGAGGCAGCAGUGGGGAAUAUUGCACAAUGGGCGCAAGCCUGAUGCAGCCAUGCCGCGUGUAUGAAGAAGGCCUUCGGGUUGUAAAGUACUUUCAGCGAGGAGGAAGGCAUUGUGGUUAAUAACCACAGUGAUUGACGUUACUCGCAGAAGAAGCACCGGCUAACUCCGUGCCAGCAGCCGCGGUAAUACGGAGGGUGCAAGCGUUAAUCGGAAUUACUGGGCGUAAAGCGCACGCAGGCGGUCUGUCAAGUCGGAUGUGAAAUCCCCGGGCUCAACCUGGGAACUGCAUUCGAAACUGGCAGGCUAGAGUCUUGUAGAGGGG
rnacentral:rRNA from 1 species